UUCGUAGGCGGACUGGUAAGUCAGAGGUGAAAGCCAACGGCUCAACCGUUGAAUUGCCUCUGAUACUGUCAGUCCUGAGUCCGUCAGGGGAUGGUGGAAUUCCUGGUGUAGCGGUGAAAUGCGUAAAUAUCAGGAGGAACACCGGUGGCGAAGGCGACCAUCUGGGACGGAACUGACGCUGAGGAACGAAAGCAUGGGUAUCAAACAGGAUUAGAUACCCUGGUAGUCC
rnacentral:rRNA from 1 species